UUGGAGGUAUUACGUGCGGAUAGAACUGGUAGCGGUAACACAUGCACGUCGAGCGGACCGACGGGAGCUUGCUCCCUUAGGUCAGCGGCGGACGGGUGAGUAACACGUGGGUAACCUGCCUGUAAGACUGGGAUAACUCCGGGAAACCGGGGCUAAUACCGGAUGCUUGAUUGAACCGCAUGGUUCAAUCAUAAAAGGUGGCUUUUAGCUACCACUUACAGAUGGACCCGCGGCGCAUUAGCUAGUUGGUGAGGUAACGGCUCACCAAGGCGACGAUGCGUAGCCGACCUGAGAGGGUGAUCGGCCACACUGGGACUGAAACACGGCCCAAACUCCUACGGGAGGCAGCAGUAGGGAAUCUUCCGCAAUGGACGAAAGUCUGACGGAGCAACGCCCCGUGAGUGAUGAAGGUUUUCGGAUCGUAAAACUCUGUUGUUAGGGGAAGAACAAGUACCGUUCGAAUAGGGCGGCACCUUGACGGUACCUAACCAGAAGCCACGGCUAACUACGUGCCAGCAGCCGCGGUAAUACGUAGGUGGCAAGCGUUGUCCGGAAUUAUUGGGCGUAAGCGCGCGCAGGCGGUUUCUUAAGUCUGAUGUGAAAGCCCCCGGCUCACCGGGGAGGUCAUUGGAAACUGGGGAACUUGAAUUGCAAAAGAAAUUGAAUUCCACGUGUACGGUUAAAUGGCUAAAAUGUGAAGAACCCAUUGGCAAGGCAUUCUCUGGCUUGAAAUGACCUUG
rnacentral:rRNA from 1 species